GCUCUGCAAAGCCCACUGCCAGUUCUCUUCGGGGACUAACUGCAACGGAGAGACUCAAGAUGAUUCCCUUCUUACCCAUGUUUUCUCUACUAUUGCUGCUUAUUGUUAACCCUAUAAACGCCAACAAUCAUUAUGACAAGAUCUUGGCUCAUAGUCGUAUCAGGGGUCGGGACCAAGGCCCAAAUGUCUGUGCCCUUCAACAGAUUUUGGGCACCAAAAAGAAAUACUUCAGCACUUGUAAGAACUGGUAUAAAAAGUCCAUCUGUGGACAGAAAACGACUGUGUUAUAUGAAUGUUGCCCUGGUUAUAUGAGAAUGGAAGGAAUGAAAGGCUGCCCAGCAGUUUUGCCCAUUGACCAUGUUUAUGGCACUCUGGGCAUCGUGGGAGCCACCACGACGCAGCGCUAUUCUGACGCCUCAAAACUGAGGGAGGAGAUCGAGGGAAAGGGAUCCUUCACUUACUUUGCACCGAGUAAUGAGGCUUGGGACAACUUGGAUUCUGAUAUCCGUAGAGGUUUGGAGAGCAACGUGAAUGUUGAAUUACUGAAUGCUUUACAUAGUCACAUGAUUAAUAAGAGAAUGUUGACCAAGGACUUAAAAAAUGGCAUGAUUAUUCCUUCAAUGUACAACAAUUUGGGGCUUUUCAUUAACCAUUAUCCUAAUGGGGUUGUCACUGUUAAUUGUGCUCGAAUCAUCCAUGGGAACCAGAUUGCAACAAAUGGUGUUGUCCAUGUCAUUGACCGUGUGCUUACACAAAUUGGUACCUCAAUUCAAGACUUCAUUGAAGCAGAAGAUGACCUUUCAUCUUUUAGAGCAGCUGCCAUCACAUCGGACAUAUUGGAGGCCCUUGGAAGAGACGGUCACUUCACACUCUUUGCUCCCACCAAUGAGGCUUUUGAGAAACUUCCACGAGGUGUCCUAGAAAGGAUCAUGGGAGACAAAGUGGCUUCUGAAGCUCUUAUGAAGUACCACAUCUUAAAUACUCUCCAGUGUUCUGAGUCUAUUAUGGGAGGAGCAGUCUUUGAGACGCUGGAAGGAAAUACAAUUGAGAUAGGAUGUGACGGUGACAGUAUAACAGUAAAUGGAAUCAAAAUGGUGAACAAAAAGGAUAUUGUGACAAAUAAUGGUGUGAUCCAUUUGAUUGAUCAGGUCCUAAUUCCUGAUUCUGCCAAACAAGUUAUUGAGCUGGCUGGAAAACAGCAAACCACUUUCACGGAUCUUGUGGCCCAAUUAGGCUUGGCAUCUGCUCUGAGGCCAGAUGGAGAAUACACUUUGCUGGCACCUGUGAAUAAUGCAUUUUCUGAUGAUACUCUCAGCAUGGAUCAGCGCCUCCUUAAAUUAAUUCUGCAGAAUCACAUAUUGAAAGUAAAAGUUGGCCUUAAUGAGCUUUACAAUGGGCAAAUACUGGAAACCAUCGGAGGCAAACAGCUCAGAGUCUUCAUAUACCGUACAGCUGUCUGCAUUGAAAAUUCAUGCAUGGAGAAAGGGAGUAAGCAAGGGAGAAACGGUGCAAUUCACAUAUUCCGCGAGAUCAUCAAGCCAGCAGAGAAAUCCCUCCAUGAAAAGUUAAAACAAGAUAAGCGCUUUAGCACCUUCCUCAGCCUACUUGAAGCUGCAGACUUGAAAGAGCUCCUGACACAACCUGGAGACUGGACAUUAUUUGUGCCAACCAAUGAUGCUUUUAAGGGAAUGACUAGUGAAGAAAAAGAAAUUCUGAUACGGGACAAAAAUGCUCUUCAAAACAUCAUUCUUUAUCACCUGACACCAGGAGUUUUCAUUGGAAAAGGAUUUGAACCUGGUGUUACUAACAUUUUAAAGACCACACAAGGAAGCAAAAUCUUUCUGAAAGAAGUAAAUGAUACACUUCUGGUGAAUGAAUUGAAAUCAAAAGAAUCUGACAUCAUGACAACAAAUGGUGUAAUUCAUGUUGUAGAUAAACUCCUCUAUCCAGCAGACACACCUGUUGGAAAUGAUCAACUGCUGGAAAUACUUAAUAAAUUAAUCAAAUACAUCCAAAUUAAGUUUGUUCGUGGUAGCACCUUCAAAGAAAUCCCCGUGACUGUCUAUACAACUAAAAUUAUAACCAAAGUUGUGGAACCAAAAAUUAAAGUGAUUGAAAGCAGUCUUCAGCCUAUUAUCAAAACUGAAGGACCCACACUAACAAAAGUCAAAAUUGAAGGUGAACCUGAAUUCAGACUGAUUAAAGAAGGUGAAACAAUAACUGAAGUGAUCCAUGGAGAGCCAAUUAUUAAAAAAUACACCAAAAUCAUUGAUGGAGUGCCUGUGGAAAUAACUGAAAAAGAGACACGAGAAGAACGAAUCAUUACAGGUCCUGAAAUAAAAUACACUAGGAUUUCUACUGGAGGUGGAGAAACAGAAGAAACUCUGAAGAAAUUGUUCCAAGAAGAGGUCACCAAGGUCACCAAAUUCAUUGAAGGUGGUGAUGGUCAUUUAUUUGAAGAUGAAGAAAUUAAAAGACUGCUUCAGGGAGCAAAUUGAAAACAUGUAUAUAAUAGAAAAAAUUGGACUUCAUGCUGAGUAUAGAUGAUACAUAUAAAAGAAGUCGAAAUUUGGAGAAAACAUUUUAAAAGAUAAGUAGAAAAAUGAAGUAACUGUAGAAACCGUAUUUACUCUUUGAUCUCAAAUGCCCAAAAACUGAGUGAAAAUGUGAAUUUAGGCCUACCAGGUAGUCUUGUCAAUAAACUAAAAGAAAAACAGGAAAAUUGAGAAAUAUGUUACAACUAUAACAACACAAAACAGCAUAGUUUUGAAACACUUGCAGUUCUUAAAUAUAAAAGCUUUUAUUAGUUAAUUUUUAAAAAGGAUCUCAUAGGAUUGACACUGAAUCAGGUUGGGAGGUGGAAUAAGGGUGAUGGCAUAUUCUUUCUGAAUUACUUAUUAUAACAUUUCUAGAAUCAUUAGGUCAGUGCUACUUUGUUGUCGUCAAUGUACAAUAAAGGAAUCACAAAUUGAUCUUAGUGAUAAUUUUACAGAGGCAGACAUUGCACAUAGGUAUGACUGCAAAAAUGGGUGGCUAACUCUGGGAAGAUACUUGUGUUAAACUUUAUAUGACAUUUAAUAACCCUUCAUCAUAAGGCAAUGUUUUUUACAAAAAGAUUGAAAAAAUCAUGUAAGUCAUUUACUCUGCAAAAAUGGCACAUUAGGUGGGGCUCCAAAAUCCAUAAUGAAACAAUGUGUUUUGCAACUAAGAAACAUUCAUUAUGAUAUAUGGAAAACACUGUCUGUCUACUUGUCCUUUACGAAAAAAUGUAAAACUCUGAGGAUCAUAAAAUUUAACUACUAAAAAUAAUCUUCGUGUUUAAGUGAUACUUAUUUAAGACUUUACACUGUUCUGUUUAACCAUGGUCUCCUGUCUGAUUUUAGCCAUAAUUGCAAAGUAUUUCUAACUACAACAAUUUAAUUUUAGACACACCCGUGAGGAAGUUGCAAGCCAACAAAAAAGUUCAAGGAUCUAGAAGACGAUUAAGGGAAGGUCGUUCUCAGUGAAAAUCCAAAAACCAGACAAAAUUGUUUAUACAACCCUAAGUCAAUAACCUGACCUUAGAAAAUUGUGAGAGCCAAGUUGACUUCAGGAACUGAAACAUCAGCACAAAGAAGCAAUCAUCAAAUAAUUCUGAACACAAAUUUAAUAUUUUUUUUUCUGAAUGAGACACAUGAGGGAAAUUGUGGAGUUAGCCUCCUGUGGUAAAGGAAUUGAAGAAAAUAUAACACCUUACACACUUUUUCAUCUUGACAUUAAAAGUUCUGGCUAACUUUGGAA